rnacentral:rRNA from 1 species
UACGUAGGCAGCAAGCGUUGUUCGGAGUUACUGGGCGUAAAGGGUGUGUAGGCGGUUUUCUAAGUCUGGUGUGAAAUCUCCCGGCUCAACUGGGAGGGUGCGCCGAAAACUGGAAGGCUAGAGUGCGGGAUGGGAGAGUGGAAUUCCUGGUGUAGCGGUGAAAUGCGUAGAUAUCUGGAGGAAUACCGGUGGCGAAGGCGGCAUCCUGGACCGGCAUUGACGCUGAUGAGCGAAAGCUAGGGGAGCAAACGGG